rnacentral:rRNA from 1 species
GGCGGACGGGUGAGUAACACGUGGGUAACCUGCCCAAGAGACUGGGAUAACACCUGGAAACAGAUGCUAAUACCGGAUAACAACACUAGACGCAUGUCUAGAGUUUGAAAGAUGGUUCUGCUAUCACUCUUGGAUGGACCUGCGGUGCAUUAGCUAGUUGGUAAGGUAACGGCUUACCAAGGCAAUGAUGCAUAGCCGAGUUGAGAGACUGAUCGGCCACAUUGGGACUGAGACACGGCCCAAACUCCUACGGGAGGCAGCAGUAGGGAAUCUUCCACAAUGGACGAAAGUCUGAUGGAGCAACGCCGCGUGAGUGAAGAAGGGUUUCGGCUCGUAAAGCUCUGUUGGUAGUGAAGAAAGAUAGAGGUAGUAACUGGCCUUUAUUUGACGGUAAUUACUUAGAAAGUCACGGCUAACUACGUGCCAGCAGCCGCGGUAAUACGUAGGUGGCAAGCGUUGUCCGGAUUUAUUGGGCGUAAAGCGAGUGCAGGCGGUUCAAUAAGUCUGAUGUGAAAGCCUUCGGCUCAACCGGAGAAUUGCAUCAGAAACUGUUGAACUUGAGUGCAGAAGAGGAGAGUGGAACUCCAUGUGUAGCGGUGGAAUGCGUAGAUAUAUGGAAGAACACCAGUGGCGAAGGCGGCUCUCUGGUCUGCAACUGACGCUGA